rnacentral:lncRNA from 1 species
CGCAAGGCUAUUUUUCAUCCGGAGAACACUAUUAAGGGACGUCUCAGAAAAAAUGAUGCGAUGAGGACGGCACCCAACAUAAGAUCGGAACAGAUAAUUACGGACCGUAUGAAGGCGGCGGUGGAUUCGGGCCAACGUCCACGUGAUUUUCAGAUUAUAUCGCAUGCGAACCACAGUGCUAGAACUAUGAGUAAUGUUGCGUCGGGUAGAUGGAGUGACGAAGUGGAGAUGGGUUCUGCCCAUGCCACGCAUCCCAACUGUUUGUGAUGAAUUUUUUAGUUUGGAAUGUCCGUGGUCUCACGGAAGAAUCCAAACUUAUUCUUAAGGAGCAUUGUGCUUCUUUUUCUCCAGUUGUGGUGGGCAUUCUGGAG